rnacentral:rRNA from 1 species
GUGCCAGCCGCCGCGGUAAUACGGAGGUGGCGAGCGUUGUUCGGAAUCACUGGGCGUAAAGGGCGCGUAGGCGGGCGGAGAAGUCGCGUGUGAAAGCCCCGGGCUCAACCCGGGAACGGCGCGCGAGACUCUCCGUCUUGAGUUCCGGAGAGGCGGGUGGAAUUCCUGGUGUAGCGGUGAAAUGUGUAGAGAUCAGGAGGAACACCGGUGGCGCAGGCGGCCCGCUGGACGGUGACUGACGCUGAGGCGCGAAAGCGUGGGGAGCAAACGGGAUUAGAAACCCUUGUAGUCC